UACGUAGGGUGCGAGCGUUAAUCGGAAUUACUGGGCGUAAAGCGUGCGCAGGCGGUUUGAUAAGCCCGAUGUGAAAUCCCCGAGCUCAACUUGGGCACUGCGUUUGGAACUGUCAGACUAGAGUGCGUCAGAGGGGGGUGGAAUUCCGCGUGUAGCAGUGAAAUGCGUAGAGAUGCGGAGGAACACCGAUGGCGAAGGCAGCCCCCUGGGAUGACACUGACGCUCAUGCACGAAAGCGUGGGGAGCAAACAGG
rnacentral:rRNA from 1 species